rnacentral:lncRNA from 1 species
GAAGUAAUAGUAGUAGUAGUAGUAGUAGUAGUAGUAGUAGUAGUAGUAGUAGUAGUAGUAGUAGUAGUAGUAGUAGUAGGAGAAGAAGAAGAAGAUGAAGAAUAAGAAGUAGAAGUAGUAAUAGUAGUAGUAGUAGUAGUAGUAGUAGUAGUAGUAGUAGAAGAAGAAGAAGAAGAUGAAGAAGUAGUAGUAGUAGUAGGAGUAGUAGUAGUAGUAGUAGUAGUAGU